AUUAAAGUCUGACACUGUUUCCACUGUUUCCCCAUCUAUUUGCCAUGAAGUGAUGGGACCAGAUGCCAUGAUCUUAGUUUUCUGAAUGUUGUGUAUAAUGCAGAUCUAUUUUCAGCUUGUCGCUGAGAAUGUCACACAUAAGAUGUGAUCACACCUGAACAUUUUCUAAUGGUUUUCCUUCCUAUAGAAGGCCAAAGCAAACAAAUUAGUGUGAUGUGACUUGCAUUCAGGUGCACUCUGUAUAGGCUUCCCAAUAACAUUGCUAAACACCUUUCCCUACUUUCCAUUUGUACACAUCUAAACACCUUAUUGGGAAAAACUACAAAGCUUUCAAAAACAUAAACAGGCUUGUGUUGUUUUUGUUAAGCAAGUUGACAUAUUCAACAUAGGAAUACUUUUGUAAAACUUCUACAGUAAGUUUUCAUAUCACAAUUUAGAACUUAUAGCCAAAGAUCCUCAAAACUUAAGACACAGGUGAAAUUUCAUCUUAGGAUGGUGCUUGAUACAUCAAAGAAAAAUAGUCCAAUAACAUGGAAGAUAUGUCUCAUCAAAACUGUGAUUCAGUAUUUUUGGAUAAUAGGAAAAGGUGAUAUCAAACUUAUAAAAUUAGAUCUGAUCAUCAUAGAGAAAUGUUCAUUAUGUAGCGCAGCAUGUCAAAGGCCUAGGUUCUAGUCCUGGCUCCAUCACUAACCAACUGUGUGACCUUAUUUCACCCAUGAGCCUUGUUCUCAUUAGUAAUAGGAAACUGACACCAACCCUGCCUACCUCACAGGGAUGUUGUGAAGGUUUAAUUGGUAUAUGUUAAAGUUCUUUCAAAAUUGUAAAAAUGCUAUAUAACUCUGAGGAAUUGUUAACAUAUUUGUUCUAAGAUUAUUAAUAAAAAAUUGAACUUA